CCUCACCAUAGCCAGCAAAGCUACUACUCAUUUAGCGGAGUUGUUCUCCGGGUCUCACUGAAGGGGCGCAGGAAUAGACACAGGCGAAUCUGUGACGCUGGCAUAGAAUCCAGAUCACGGAACUCUUCACCUCUUCCCAGGGUGAUUGGCCAGAGGACGUCAUUUCCC